rnacentral:rRNA from 1 species
CAGUAGCCGCGGUAAUACGUAGGGCGCGAGCGUUGUCCGGAGUUACUGGGCGUAAAGGGCUUGUAGGCGGCCGGUCGCGUCCGCCGUGAAAUCCCCUGGCUCAACCGGGGGCGUGCGGUGGGUACGGGCCGGCUUGAGUGCGGUAGGGGAGGCUGGAACUCCUGGUGUAGCGGUGGAAUGCGCAGAUAUCAGGAAGAACACCGGUGGCGAAGGCGGGUCUCUGGGCCGUUACUGACGCUGAGGAGCGAGAGCGUGGGGAGCGAACAGGAUUAGAUACCCCUGUAGUCCCUGUCUCUUAUAC